GCACUGUGUCUCCGACAUUCAGCUCGACAGACACGGAACUGAAACUGAGGAGAACCUGAACGAUGGAACAGAGGAGAAAUAUUAGGACACCUGGGAAUGUUAUUCAAAGAGAACAUGUAAAUCUACAAACUCUGCGGGAAAUACACCGAAAUAAUUACUUAGAAAAACAAUGUGAAAAUGACCAUGAAGAUGCAGAGAGAAUCGGACGUGCUGGUUUUAAUUUAGUGCCACGUUAUCCGGCACCAGUGGAGUUUCAUGUGUCCAAAGUUGCCCAUGUUACCACUCAGACCAACAUGGAUGGGAUUUUGAGCUCCCGUGGCUUCAAAGGCAACGAGGGACUUGUGUGGUGGGGACUUCAGAUUGGACAAGAGGAGAUCGAUGCAGCAGAGGAGCGUUACCUGGAGACCCUGUUCCCCAACAGAAACCCAGAGCAGAGAGAAGCUCAACGGCCGUUUCUUCAACAGUUCACCACCUCUCCUGCGUUCCUGGACAGCUCUCGCUACGGAAACUUUCGUUUCUCCUUCCAGCUGGAUGAGCUGAUGAAGACCUACCAGGAGCAGAUAUGUGGAGGACAGGAGCCAAGACUGAGGGUCCAUAAGACUGUGGUCUACAAACAGGAGAUCAUGUACUCAGUAGUGGUUCAUAGUCCUGAGGUAGAGGACUAUAAUAAAUGUCCAGAGCUUCAGGAUAACGAUGCUGUUUGUAGCUAUACGGAGGGGAAGAUUAUCUGGCGUUCACAAGCCAUGAGUGAAACACACCAUUUCAGACUAAUUCAGAAUCGUUUUGAGCAGCACGUUAAGGCUGAGCCUGCUUGCCCAGAUGUGUAUUAUGUGUGGGACCAUGUUUGUCUGGCCUUCCACAUCCCAGAGGACAAAAUUCUCACCUUCCUCCCCAAGAGUUUGAAGAAGAGCUUGUCUGCAUGUGAUAUGGAGAUUGUAAAACUAAAUGAUCAUGUACCGUUACAUGAGGCAAAGUCAGUAGUAGACAAGGUGAAGUUGAGAGACUAAUACAGGCCAGUACCAGUGGCAGGUUCUGCUAAAAGUGGCCAGGCUCAAUUUUCUCAAGUUGAAGUUGAGUUUGUUCAAGGUUUCCUCAUCUAGUGAAUGGCCUGAGAAAACCAAAUCUUAAAUAACUACCAGUCAACAUUUUGGACAGACCUACUCAUGUAUGGAGAAGUAAAGAGCAAUGACUCUGAACAACAUGAUUACAAUCGCUUCACUUUCACUUAUUGUUGGGGUUAUUUUGUAUUCUUUUUUAAGUUUAUUGUGGUGGAUUAGAAUAAUUUUCCUUCAUUUUUUUGUUAGUUGACCUGCUCUUAGGUUAGAUCUUAGCUUUUGUAUUGUUUGUUAUAUUUGUAUAUCAGUUUGUUAUAUUUGUGUGUGUGUGUGUGUGUGUGUGUGUGAUGGGUAUAUUUGUAUAAGAGAUGUGUAACUUUCUUUUUGAUUUAGUAUAUUGUUUCUUUUUCUAUUUCUACAACAUUAAAAGAUAUUUGUAUUAAUU
rnacentral:lncRNA from 1 species